rnacentral:rRNA from 1 species
UGCAUCGAUGAAGAACGCAGCGAAAUGCGAUAAGUAAUGUGAAUUGCAGAAUUCAGUGAAUCAUCGAAUCUUUGAACGCAACUUGCGCUCUCUGGUAUUCCGGAGAGCAUGCCUGUUUGAGUGUCAUGAAAUCUCAACCAUUAGGGUUUCUUAAUGGCUUGGAUUUGGAGGUUGCCAUUCUAAAUGGCUCCUCUUAAAGGAGUUAGCAGGUUUUACUAUUGCUAUCUGGCGUAAUAAGUUUCGCUGGAAUGGUAUUGUGAAGCGUGCUUCUAAUCGUCUUCGGACAAUUACUUUGACUCUGGCCUCAAAUCAGGUAGGACUACCCGCUGAACUUAAGCAUAUCAAUAAGCGGAGG